UACGAAGGGGGCUAGCGUUGUUCGGAAUCACUGGGUGUAAAGGGCGCGUAGGCGGCUUUGUAAGUCGGGGGUGAAAGCCUGUGGCUCAACCACAGAAUUGCCUUCGAUACUGCAUGGCUUGAGACCGGAAGAGGUAAGUGGAACUGCGAGUGUAGAGGUGAAAUUCGUAGAUAUUCGCAAGAACACCAGUGGCGAAGGCGGCUUACUGGUCCGGUUCUGACGCUGAGGCGCGAAAGCGUGGGGAGCAAACAGG
rnacentral:rRNA from 1 species